rnacentral:rRNA from 1 species
GUGGGGAAUCUUGCGCAAUGGGCGAAAGCCUGACGCAGCCAUGCCGCGUGAAUGAUGAAGGUCUUAGGAUUGUAAAAUUCUUUCACCGGGGACGAUAAUGACGGGACCCGGAGAAGAAGCCCCGGCUAACUUCGUGCCAGCAGCCGCGGUAAUACGAAGGGGGCUAGCGUUGCUCGGAAUUACUGGGCGUAAAAGGCGCGUAGGCGGACAGUUUAGUCAGAGGUGAAAGCCCAGGGCUCAACCUUGGAAUUGCCUUUGAUACUGGCUGUCUUGAGUACGGGAGAGGUGAGUGGAACUCCGAGUGUAGAGGUGAAAUUCGUAGAUAUUCGGAAGAACACCAGUGGCGAAGGCGACUCACUGGCCCGUUACUGACGCUGAGGCGCGAAAGCGUGGGGAGCAAACAGGAUUAGAUACCCGGGUAGUCC